UCAACAAGAGAAACAGCAGGCUGGAUCCCAAAAGAGCUGACCUGGGAUUCAGAAGCGGCUAUGGAGCAGGGGGAAGGAAAGCCAGAAAACCGCUACUAGCUCUUAAAACUUAUGCCUGAAAGCGACGUGGGUGACUUCCGCUCACAUUUCAUGGGCCAAAUCGAGUCAUAUGGCAGUGGCCACAUGGACGCCAGGAUGGCAGUGUGUAACGCUGAAUCCUGGGGACAGUGCUACAGUCUUUCAUGGGAGGCUUAGAUAUAGCCGUUGCAUGCUGUCUGAAGUCUGACAAACAAGAUCGUCAGAGGAGCUGUGAAGGAAGCUGCCACGUGGGGAAUUGCAUUUUUCCCCGAAAGAUGACUUCAUCUUGUUCGAUCGCCAUCUUAUGAAAUUCUUUGGCUGUCCAGCAAGUAUCGAUAAGGGAAGCUGUCCAAGCACAUGGCUAUGAGCCACAUUGCCGCAUAAGUCCCUGACACACACCUACCGGCUGGCUGAGGUUUUUUUCCCCCAAUUUCCGUCUCCCUGAUGCCCCAUCCUCCCCCUGUCCCCCCCCCCCACAACGUUUAUUUUUCACCCACUUCAUUCCUUCUUUGAGCUCCAAAAUCCGGAUGACAGUGACUCCUCUGUGGUCACCGAAGAUUUUCAAACUCCUCUCUCAAGAGGCUGGUCAUUUCCACGCAGGGCACUUUCUUACAAUUUGUCCAGCGGAGCCAUGGGGUCUUAGGAGGUCUUUCUGUCUGAGGAGCCGAUUUUCUACCAUAAAUGUGAUUCGCUGAGA